GAUGAACGCUGGCGGCGUGCCUAAUACAUGCCAGUCGAGCGAACGGACGAGAAGCUUGCUUCUCUGAUGUUAGCGGCGGACGGGUGAGUAACACGUGGAUAACCUACCUAUAAGACUGGGAUAACUUCGGGAAACCGGAGCUAAUACCGGAUGAUAUUUUGAACCGCAUGGUUCAAAAGUGAAAGACGGUCUUGCUGUCACUUAUAGAUGGAUCCGCGCUGCAUUAGCUAGUUGGUAAGGUAACGGCUUACCAAGGCAACGAUGCAUAGCCGACCUGAGAGGGUGGUCGGCCACACGGGAACUGAGACACGGUCCAGACUCCUACGGGAGGCAGCAGUAGGGAAUCUUACGCAAUGGGCGAAAGCCUGACGGAACAACGCCGCGUGAGUGAUGAAGGUCUUCGGAUCGUAAAACUCUGUUAUUAGGGAAGAACAUAUGUGUAAGUAACUGUGCACAUCUUGACGGUACCUAAUCAGAAAGCCACGGCUAACUACGUG
rnacentral:rRNA from 1 species